rnacentral:rRNA from 1 species
UACGUACGAGGCGAGCGUUAUCCGGAAUUACUGGGCGUAAAGCGCGCGCAGGUGGUUGGUUAAGUUGGACGUGAAAUCUCCCGGCCUAACUGGGAGGGUCGUUCGAAACUGGCCGACUUGAGGACUGCAGAGGUGGGUGGAAUUCCUGGUGUAGUGGUGAAAUGCGUAGAGAUCAGGAGGAACACCGGUGGCGAAGGCGGCCCACUGGGCAGUCACUGACGCUGAGGCGCGAAAGCUCGGGGAGCGAACGGG